rnacentral:rRNA from 2 species
GGAUGCGAUCAUACCAGCACUAAAGCUCCGGAUCCCAUCAGAACUCCGAAGUUAAGCGUUCUUGGGCGAGAGUAGUACUAGGAUGGGUGACCUCCUGGGAAGUCCUCGUGUUGCAUUCC